GGGAGAAGGAACACAAGACUCCGGAGGCAUGCCAGCAUAUAAAACCACACUUUGCCUCAUUGGUUCCAGCCUCAGCUUCCAGUCUGGACAUGGAGCACAAUAACAGUGGGCCCACUGCUCUCCGAAUUCAUGCGCGCACUUGAAGGGAGUGUCUGGUGCAGGCAUGCAGGGAGGAAGAAUGACUCUGAGCUUGACCAUUCAACUUCGAAACUUUAACAUCAAUGGAUCAACACACACUGGUGUACAGUCUGCUAUGCAUGCAGCCCUGUGCUAGGCAAAAGAAGUAUCAGACCAGGAACUGACAGCCUCACUACAACAGGAAGAGACGCUUCACACAAUAAGCGUUUCAUUCAACCAGGCUGGACCUGUGCUUAUUGAGUUGAACAUCACUGAGCACAAAAUGCAAGCCAGACACCAUAAGAGCUGUAAGGAUGAUAAAGAUGUCUUUCUACCCUCGAGAGCUCUAAGUGUGGUCAGGAGAGAAACACACGCAAAGAUUAUGCUGGCUGGAAGGAAAUGCUGGAAUGAAGGUGGAAGGUACAUCCAGAAUGUUCUGGGGCUCAGGAAUAGCGAAUGAUGGGUUCUGACUUAGAACACGAAGGGAAGGUAUUAAGAAAGAGGUGAUAUUAAGCAUUUAUUGAGCAACUCUACUUUUUUUGUGUAUGUGACCUUGUUUGGAAAUACAGUAUCUCUUUUUGAUGCUGGCAA
rnacentral:antisense_RNA from 1 species